CACGCAUGACACACUGCAUAUCAAUAAGCGGAGGAAAAGAAACUAACAAGGAUUCCCUUAGUAACGGCGAGUGAAGCGGGAAGAGCUCAAAUUUGAAAUCUUCAAGGUUUUACCUUGACGAAUUGUAGUUUAAAGAAGUGUUUUCUGUUGGAGUUUUGGUAAAAGUUCUUUGGAAUAGGACAUCAUAGAGGGUGAGAAUCCCGUAUUUGACCAUUAUUUUCAGCUGUGUGAUACACUUUCAAAGAGUCGGAUUGUUUGGGAAUGCAGUCCAAAAUGGGUGGUAAAUUUCAUCUAAAGCUAAAUAUUGGCGAGAGACCGAUAGCGAACAAGUACCGUGAGGGAAAGAUGAAAAGAACUUUGAAAAGAGAGUUAAACAGUACGUGAAAUUGUCAAAAGGGAAGCGUUUGACACCAGUGUUGUUUUCUCGAAAAUCAAUUAAAAAAUGCUGGAUUUUGUGUUGUAUUGACCUUAUAAGCUUUCUGCACUCUUUUCUUGUCUUUUUUAAUGCACUUUUCGUUUAACAAGUCAACAUCAGUUUCUUUUGUUGUAAAAGGGUCAUUGGAAGGUGGCUUUCUUUUCGGAGAAAGUGUUUAUAGCCUUUGAUCUCUGCAACCGGAGAGACUGAGGUCUGCAGCGUAGACUCUUCGGGGUUAGAUACAUUUGUGCUAAGCUAUAGCUUUUUAUAGACAACUUGUUGACUAUAUUUAGUCUUGUGGCUUACUCGCUUAUGCUAUUUUACCUACGCUUAGGAUGUUGAGCGCAUGUCUCUCUCU
rnacentral:rRNA from 1 species